CAUUAAUAUGUCCAGCACCUUCUGUUAUGUGAUGAACUAAACUGGACCGCACAUGGCGCUAGCUGACAGGUCGGUUUGAGCACCUUCUCCUGUGAACUGUUUCAACUGGUUUUGCUGUGCCGAUCAGCUGAUGAUGUUGGAGUAUUCAAGAGCUUUAUCAUGGCGCAUUGUUUCGAGAACACAUGACGAUCAUGGUGAAGGCAUGAAGAUGAACCUCGAGGGAAGUGGGGGGAUAUGAAGGUGGAAUAAAAUAGGCAAGUCAUUUGAAUGCUAGCUCUGCCAGAAAUGUAAAACUAACAGUUCUUUUGUAAACUUAUGGGUUCGAGAUGAAAUCUGAAUUAGGCUAAAGGUUUGAAGCUGUUUGGUGUAGGACUAGUAAGUUGCCAAUCUUGAUUAGCAUAUGGUGUAACAUGGAGCUUGGUGUUUGGUCAUAGUAGGGUUGGUAUG